rnacentral:tRNA from 1 species
AAGGCUUUAAGUUAAUAUUUAAACUAAUAACCUUCAAAGCUAUAAAUAAAGUAAUCUUUAAGCCUUA